rnacentral:rRNA from 1 species
UACGGGGGGAGCAAGCGUUGUUCGGAUUUACUGGCGUAAAGGGCGCGUAGGCGGCCACCGCAAGUCGACUGUGAAAUCUCCGGGCUUAACCCGGAAAGGUCAGCCGAUACUGCGGGGCUAGAGUGCAGAAGGGCAACUGGAAUUCUCGGUGUAGCGGUGAAAUGCGUAGAUAUUGGGAGGAACACCAGUGGCGAAGGCGGCCACCUGGACAGAGAUUGACGCUGAGGCGCGAAAGCGUGGGGAUCAAACAGG